UACGUAGGGUGCAAGCGUUGUCCGGAAUUAUUGGGCGUAAAGAGCUCGUAGGCGGUCUGUCGCGUCUGCUGUGAAAACUCAGGGCUUAACCCUGGGCCUGCAGUGGGUACGGGCAGACUAGAGUGCGGUAGGGGAGACUGGAAUCCCUGGUGUAGCGGUGAAAUGCGCAGAUAUCAGGAGGAACACCGGUGGCGAAGGCGGGUCUCUGGGCCGUAACUGACGCUGAGGAGCGAAAGCAUGGGGAGCGAACAGG
rnacentral:rRNA from 1 species